GAUGAACGCUAGCUACAGGCUUAACACAUGCAAGUCGAGGGGCAGCACAGUGUAGCAAUACACGGGUGGCGACCGGCGCACGGGUGCGUAACGCGUAUCCAACCUUCCCGUUACUCAGGGAUAGCCUUCCGAAAGGGAGAUUAAUACCUGAUGGUGUUUGAAUUCCGCAUGUUAUUCAAACUAAAGAUUUAUCGGUAACGGAUGGGCAUGCGUUCCAUUAGCUAGUUGGUGAGGUAACGGCUCACCAAGGCUACGAUGGAUAGGGGUUCUGAGAGGAAGGUCCCCCACACUGGUACUGAGACACGGACCAGACUCCUACGGGAGGCAGCAGUGAGGAAUAUUGGUCAAUGGACGGAAGUCUGAACCAGCCAAGUCGCGUGAAGGAAGACGGUUCUAUGAAUUGUAAACUUCUUUUGUCGGGGAGUAAAGUCAGCUACGCGUAGCUGUUUGCAAGUACCCGAAGAAAAAGCAUCGGCUAACUCCGUG
rnacentral:rRNA from 1 species